rnacentral:misc_RNA from 1 species
GAUGAAGAACGUAGCGAAAUGCGAUAAGUAAUGUGAAUUGCAGAAUUCAGUGAGUCAUCGAAUCUUUGAACGCACAUUGCGCCCUGUGGUAUUCCGCAGGGCAUGCCUGUUCGAGCGUCAUUUCAACCCUCAAGCCCCGCUUGGUGUUGGGCCCCGCCCGCCGUGGCCGGCCCUAAAGACAGUGGCGGCGCCGCCUGGCCCUCAGCGUAGUACAGCUCUCGCUCCAGGGUCCGGCGGCCGCCUGCCAGAACCCCCCAACUCUGUGGUUGACCUCGGAUCAGGUAGGGAUACCCGCUGAACUUAAGCAUAUCAAUAAGCGGAGGA